UACGGGGGGAGCAAGCGUUGUUCGGAUUUACUGGGCGUAAAGGGCGCGUAGGCGGUCGGGUCAAGUCACUUGUGAAAUCUCCGGGCUUAACUCGGAACGGUCAAGUGAUACUGUCGGACUAGAGUACAGAAGGGGCGACUGGAAUUCUCGGUGUAGCGGUGAAAUGCGUAGAUAUCGAGAGGAACACCUGCGGCGAAGGCGGGUUGCUGGGCUGAUACUGACGCUGAGGCGCGAAAGCCAGGGGAGCGAACGGG
rnacentral:rRNA from 1 species